rnacentral:rRNA from 1 species
CAGGCCUAACACAUGCAAGUCGAGCGGAUGAUGGGAGCUUGCUCCCGGAUUCAGCGGCGGACGGGUGAGUAAUGCCUAGGAAUCUGCCUGGUAGUGGGGGACAACGUUUCGAAAGGAACGCUAAUACCGCAUACGUCCUACGGGAGAAAGCAGGGGACCUUCGGGCCUUGCGCUAUCAGAUGAGCCUAGGUCGGAUUAGCUAGUUGGUGGGGUAAAGGCCUACCAAGGCGACGAUCCGUAACUGGUCUGAGAGGAUGAUCAGUCACACUGGAACUGAGACACGGUCCAGACUCCUACGGGAGGCAGCAGUGGGGAAUAUUGGACAAUGGGCGAAAGCCUGAUCCAGCCAUGCCGCGUGUGUGAAGAAGGUCUUCGGAUUGUAAAGCACUUUAAGUUGGGAGGAAGGGCAGUAAGUUAAUACCUUGCUGUUUUGACGUUACCAACAGAAUAAGCACCGGCUAACUUCGUGCCAGCAGCCGCGGUAAU